UUCUAACUGACGAGUCCCAAAUAGAACGAAAAGGCCAUCCUGGAU
rnacentral:hammerhead_ribozyme from 1 species